CACGGGGGGAGCAAGCGUUGUUCGGAAUCACUGGGCGUAAAGGGCGUGUAGGCGGUUCGGUAAGUGGAAUGUGAAAUGCUCCGGCUCACCCGGAGUACUGCAUCCCAAACUGCCGAGCUUGAGUAUGGGAGAGGAUGAGGGAAUUCCUGGUGUAGCGGUGAAAUGCGUAGAUAUCUGGAGGAACACCGGUGGCGAAGGCGGCAUCCUGGACCGGCAUUGACGCUGAGGCGCGAAAGCCAGGGGAGCAAACGGG
rnacentral:rRNA from 1 species